GUGGGUAGUUUGACUGGGGCGGUCUCCUCCCAAAGCGUAACGGAGGAGCACGAAGGUUAGCUAAUCCUGGUCGGACAUCAGGAGGUUAGUGCAAUGGCAUAAGCUAGCUUGACUGCGAGCGUGACGGCGCGAGCAGGUGCGAAAGCAGGUCAUAGUGAUCCGGUGGUUCUGAAUGGAAGGGCCAUCGCUCAACGGAUAAAAGGUACUCCGGGGAUAACAGGCUGAUACCGCCCAAGAGUUCAUAUCGACGGCGGUGUUUGGCACCUCGAUGUCGGCUCAUCACAUCCUGGGGCUGAAGUAGGUCCCAAGGGUAUGGCUGUUCGCCAUUUAAAGUGGUACGCGAGCUGGGUUUAGAACGUCGUGAGACAGUUCGGUCCCUAUCUGCCGUGGGCGCUGGAGAAUUGAGGGGGGCUGCUCCUAGUACGAGAGGACCGGAGUGGACGCAUCACUGGUGUUCGGGUUGUCAUGCCAAUGGCACUGCCCGGUAGCUAAAUGCGGAAGAGAUAAGUGCUGAAAGCAUCUAAGCACGAAACUUGCCCCG
rnacentral:rRNA from 4 species